rnacentral:lncRNA from 1 species
UAACAUCACUGAUGACCUGCCUUUAACUUAAAAAUUAAGGGUUUAUUGUCAUUCUUUUGUAUCAUUACACACCAUUUUUCCUAUUUAACACUAAAGCUGCUUUGACUCAAUCUGUAUUGUUAAAAGCGCUGUAUGAAUAAAGGUGCGUGUGGCACCUGCAUGUAUUUCUCCAGCUGGUCCAUGGGCAUGGGGAAGUCCGGGUGGUUGUUGUUGUAGAGGGCGAUGUUGCGGCAGGCCUGAUGCAGCAUGGAGAAGAGUCAGGAGUUUGUUGUCGUCCAGCACAGAGUUCAGGUUCUCCACCCACUCCGGAUCCACGUCACCGUCAAAGAUGAUCCACUGCCGCUUCUGCAGCUCUCCACGGACGUUAUCGAUGAUCCUGAACGAGCACAAACACAGUAUAUGAGGAAAAAUCAAGUCACCCUUAUUUAUAUAUCGCUUUUAAUAAUACAGAUUGUGUCAAAGCAGCGUUACAGUGUUAAACAUUGUGUAAUAAUGCAAAAGCACAACAGUAAACAGCUCUUCAACGGUCAUCAUCCAGCUCAGGACUGCGUCUCCCAAAUGCAUCGAGUUGAUCGUAGCUGGGUCUACAAUGUACUUAGGCUUACGAUGCUUUCAGGAAACACAGCCCAGUUCAGUUUAAAUAGAGGACAGGCGAGGACUCACUUCCUGAGCACGUGUGUGAAGAGCCCGUCGGUCCACUCGCGUGUGUUGGGGUCCAGCGUGCCGUACAGGUGGUCUUUGCUGAUGGCUUUGGGGUCGAUGAUGUGA